GCCGGGCCGAGCGCGGGGCCUGCGGAUUUUUCCCAGGACCCUCGAGCAGCAGUGCUUCUUCUUCUGCCCAGUUUGGGGGUGACCCCCCAGCCAUGACGACCCCCAGGACCCAGGCAUGGAUCAGCCCCUCGGGCCUGAAGCUGGACGUGUUCGUCCCCUUCCUGGGCAAGUACCACCGGCCGGUUUCGGGGCGCUGCUGCCAGACCUGCACCCCCAGGAGCUGGGAUGGAUUCUACCCCGAGGACCUCGCGGCUCUCGGGUUCCGCGACGCCAGCCGGGUGACGGAGGCGGACACGCGGUUCCGGGGCUGGCUGGUCCGGAGGGUCUGUGGGUUCCUGGCAGCCUGGGAGUGGAAAAUCCCAGCGGAGAGCCCCGGGGAGCUCCUGGCGCGGGUCUGCAGCAGCAGGAGGUGGGUGGGAGCGGCUGGAGGGGCUGGAGGGGCUGGCCCCAGCCCUGGGGAUCCCUUGGGGACCCAGCGAGGCUCCCUGCGCCCCACCACGGGGCUGCCGGGUGCUCCCCUGCCCUGCUGUCCCCAGGGUGCAGGACGCUGCCUCUGGCCGGGAGCCUGGCUCCGGAGGGGACGAGGGAUCCCAGCGGCGCUGGAAGGAGGAGGUCUGCCAGAUCCUGGGGGAAAUCCAGGCCCCGCUCUCCCCUCUGCUGCUGAGGCUGUGCCACUGGCUGCUCCCCAAGCUCCUGACCCGCCUGUUCCUGGGCGUGCAGCUGCACCGGGGGCAGCUGGAGAUGGUGCUGCGAGCUGCCAGGACGGUAGGGAGCCCGCCCGGGCCCUCCCAGCCCCUGGCACGCCGGGAAUUCACCCCGGGAUCCCUUGCUUGCAGCCCGAGGUGCCGCUGGUGUUCCUGUGCAGCCACCAGUCCCCGCUGGACGGGCCCCUGCUGUCCUUCCUGCUGCUGUCCCAGGGCAUCGGGCUGCCCAGGGUGGCUGUGAGCCCCGCGGCCGGCCCCCGCCUGCGAUCCCUGCUCCAGCGCCUGGGAGGGAUUUUCCUGCCUUCAGGAAUGGCGCCGGCGCGGAGUGCCCGGGAUGAGGGGCUCCCUGGGGCUGUGCUGGACGCGGUAGGUGCAGUUCGGGCCGACAGAUCCCCCUGGAGCGCUCGCGAGGUGCUGGCAGCUCCCAGUACUCCCAGUCUCUCCCCAGUACGUCCAGGAGGUGCUGCGGAGCCGCCAGCCCCUGGUGCUGUUCCUGGAGGAGCCCUGGGCUGCCCUGCGGCUGGCGGAGCCCGCCCGGCGCUGGCUGCUGCGCCUGCUGCGGGCGCUGCGGGACGGCGCCGUGCCCGACGUGCUGCUGGUGCCCGUGGGCAUCACCUACGACCUGGCUCCCGGCAGAGCGGAGCGGGACGCAGCGCCCCCUCAGCCCCUCGGGGUCGGCUCGUGUCUCCGGGCGGCAUUCCAGGCCCUGCUCUGCCGGCGCCCUGGCUGUGCCCAGGUGGAUUUCUCUCAGCCCUUCUCCUUACGGGAAUUUUUGGACAACAACCUGGUCAGGCCAGUCCUGACGGGGAGCCAUCCCGAGCAGCUGCUGCUUCCCACCAUCCUGGGCAGGCGGUGAGGAGCCGAGCCCCCGGGGGCAGAGUUCCCCUUGGCUCUCUGCUCCCGGCUCUCUCCUCACCCCUCUCAUCCCGGCUCCAGCCCGCUGGAUGUGGGGACCGUGGGGACUUCGGGUCCCACUUUGGGGACAGAAGAGGAGAUUUUGGUGACGGCGCUGGGGCUGCACGCGCUGAGCGAUUCCAGAGCCUGCUGCGCCGUCACAGCCGUGGGAAUCACUGCAGCGCUGCUGCUCCACAGGCACCAGGAGGUGGGAGAAGGGUUCCGUCCCCCCUCCCCUCAGGGCAGCAUUCCCGGUGGGAUUCCCCCUCCCCUGAGGGCAGCAUUCCCGGUGGGAUUCCCCCUGCCCCGAGGGCAGCAUUCCCAGCAGGAUCCCGGUGCUCCGCAGGUGCUGCUGCUGCCCCGGCUGAUGUGGGAUUUCUGGGAGCUGCUGGAGCAGCUGCUGCUGCGGGGCCGGGCCGUGGGCUUCUCGGGGCAGCUGCGGGCGCUGGUGGGGCACAGCCUGCGCCUGCUGCAGCCCCCCCGGGGCCGCCCCGGCGCCGCGGCCCGGGCUCGGCUGGGCUGGCUGGCGGGGGGCGUCCGGCACCACCUGGCCGGGGAGGCCGUGGGCGCCUGUGCCAUCCGUGCCCUGCUGCUGGAGGUGCUGCCAAUCCUGGGGCCGCCCUCCAGCCUCACCAGGAUCGUGCUGAGCCGGGACGAGCUGCUCCACAAGAUCCUGGAGCUGCUGCAGCUGCUGCCCCCCACCCUGCUGGGGCUCCAGGUGGGGACACGGGGCUGGCCUGGCAUCCCCAGCCCUGCUGGGGCUCUGGGUGGGGACAGGGGUGUGGCCUGUCGCACAGGGCUGGCCUGUCACCCCUUUGCUGUGUCCCCAGCCCUGCCAGCCUCCCGACUGCCACAGCCUGGACAUCCUGGACAAGCUCAUCCUGGGGGGGCUGCUGGAGGAGGAGGAGGCCGAGGGUGAGCGCUGGGGCUGUGACGUGGCCCCGCGGCGCUGCUGGCGGGGACCUUCCUUGGGCUUCUUCACCGAUGACAGCGACAGCGACAGCGAGCACGGCGUCCCCAAGCAGUGCUACAAGCUCCGCGAGCCCCAGAGCUUCCCCGGCUUCCUCCUGUUCCUCUGCCGCCUGCUGAGCCCCGUGCUGCAGACCUACGGCCGCGCCGUGCAGUUCCUGCAGAGACCCCCCUGGCCCCAGCCCGAGGCAGACUGCGUGGAGGCACUGCUGGAAUUCCUGGCCGAGGAUGAGGAUGGGUAUCCCGACAGGAGCCUGGCCCUGAGCUCCCUGCAGAGUUUCAAGGACAU